GAAUCAGAUCUAAAAAGCUCUAAGUUGAAGUAUUGCUUCAUACCUGAGUUUCUCUGAUCUCGAUUAGCAUUCGGGGACUCUCCCUUAUGGUCGAUGCGAAGUGCCGUUUGAUAUCCCGUGAUCUUUAGCAUUAUCUGGUUAUAUUACAAGGAAGUCAAAGCAAUCUCAGGAGCUAUUCCAUAGGAUGAUGAUCAUGACACUAGGGCGGACCUGUGCCUUAGAGAAUAAAAAUGAAGAUAGAAUUAGUUUAAUUAUGUUCUGAACUCUUUGUUUUCCUGUUUGAAACGAUGUAGCACUCAUGUUUAUAAAUAAAAUACAGCUUUGUAUGC
rnacentral:lncRNA from 1 species